rnacentral:rRNA from 1 species
GGGUUGUGAGGUUAAGCGACCAAGCGUACACGGUGGAUGCCCUGGCAGUCAGAGGCGAUGAAGGGCGUGCUAAUCUGCGAUAAGCGCCGGUAAGGUGAUAUGAACCGCUACAACCGGCGAUACCCGAAUGGGGAAACCCAGUGUGACUCGUCACACUAUCAUGCAGUGAAUACAUAGCUGUAUGAGGCGAACCGGGGGAACUGAAACAUCUAAGUACCCCGAGGAAAAGAAAUCAACCGAGAUUCCCCCAGUAGCGGCGAGCGAACGGGGAGGAGCCCAGAACCUGCAUCAGCUUGUGCAUCAGUGGAAGCGUCUGGAAAGUCGCAGGGUACAGGGUGAUACUCCCGUACACAAAGGUGCAUGAGCUGUGAGUUCGAUGAGUAAGGCGGGACACGUGGUAUCCUGUCUGAAUAUGGGGGGACCAUCCUCCAAGGCUAAAUACUCCUGACUGACCGAUAGUGAACCAGUACCGUGAGGGAAAGGCGAAAAGAACCCCGGCGAGGGGAGUGAAACAGAACCUGAAACCGUGUACGUACAAGCAGUGGGAGCACCUUCGUGGUGUGACUGCGUACCUUUUGUAUAAUGGGUCAGCGACUUA